GUACUUACCUAGUAGGGGACAUGCCGUGAUCAUAAAGGUAAUUUUCCCGGGGCGAGGCUCAUCCUUUGUACAGUGGAUGUGCUGAGCCCCGAGAUUUCCCCAAAUGCAAAGAGCUUGACUACACAUCUGUAAUAGUAGGGAACUGCGUUUGGGCUCUCCCCUC